rnacentral:rRNA from 1 species
UGAGGAAUAUUGGUCAAUGGACGAGAGUCUGAACCAGCCAAGUAGCGUGCAGGAUGACGGCCCUAUGGGUUGUAAACUGCUUUUGUUUGGGAAUAAUCGACAUUACGUGUAAUGUUUUGCAUGUACCAUUCGAAUAAGGACCGGCUAAUUCCGUGCCAGCAGCCGCGGUAAUACGGAAGGUCCAGGCGUUAUCCGGAUUUAUUGGGUUUAAAGGGAGUGUAGGCGGUUGGUUAAGCGUGUUGUGAAAUGUAGAUGCUCAACAUCUGACUUGCAGCGCGAACUGGCUGACUUGAGUACACACAACGUAGGCGGAAUUCAUGGUGUAGCGGUGAAAUGCUUAGAUAUCAUGAAGAACUCCGAUUGCGAAGGCAGCUUACGGGAGUGUUACUGACGCUUAAGCUCGAAGGUGCGGGUAUCAAACAGG